CAUACGGAGGCAGCAGUGGGGAAUAUUGCACAAUGGCGCAAGCCUGAUGCAGCGACGCCGCGUGGGGGAUGACGGCCUUCGGGUUGUAAACUCCUUUCAACCAUGACGAAGCUUUUUGUGACGGUAGUGGUAGAAGAAGCACCGGCUAACUACGUGCCAGCAGCCGCGGUAAUACGUAGGGUGCGAGCGUUGUCCGGAAUUACUGGGCGUAAAGAGCUCGUAGGUGGUUUGUCGCGUCGUCUGUGAAAUUCCGGGGCUUAACUCCGGGCGUGCAGGCGAUACGGGCAUAACUUGAGUACUGUAGGGGAGACUGGAAUUCCUGGUGUAGCGGUGAAAUGCGCAGAUAUCAGGAGGAACACCGAUGGCGAAGGCAGGUCUCUGGGCAGUUACUGACGCUGAGGAGCGAAAGCAUGGGUAGCGAACAGGAUUAGAUACCCUGGUAGUCCAUGCCGUAAACGGUGGGCGCUAGGUGUGGGGGUCUUCCACGACUUCCGUGCCGUAGCUAACGCAUUAAGCGCCCCGCCUGGGGAGUACGGCCGCAAGGCUAAAACUCAAAGGAAUUGACGGGGGCCCGCACAAGCGGCGGAGCAUGUGGAUUAAUUCGAUGCAACGCGAAGAACCUUACCUGGGCUUGACAUAUGCAGGAUCGGCACAGAGAUGUGUUUUCCCUUGUGGUCUGUAUACAGGUGGUGCAUGGUUGUCGUCAGCUCGUGUCGUGAGAUGUUGGGUUAAGUCCCGCAACGAGCGCAACCCUUGUCUUGUGUUGCCAGCACGUUAUGGUGGGGACUCGCGAGAGACUGCCGGGGUUAACUCGGAGGAAGGUGGGGAUGACGUCAAAUCAUCAUGCCCCUUAUGUCCAGGGCUUCACACAUGCUACAAUGGUCGGUACAGUGGGUUGCUACACCGUGAGGUGGUGCUAAUCCCUUUAAAGCCGGUCUCAGUUCGGAUUGGAGUCUGCAACUCGACUCCAUGAAGUCGGAGUCGCUAGUAAUCGCAGAUCAGCACGUGCG
rnacentral:rRNA from 1 species